GAUGAAGAACGCAGCGAAAUGCGAUACGUAAUGUGAAUUGCAAAUUCAGUGAAUCAUCGAGUCUUUGAACGCACAUUGCGCCCCCUGGUAUUCCGGGGGGCAUGCCUGUCCGAGCGUCAUUGCUGCCCUCAAGCACGGCUUGUGUGUUGGGCCCCGUCCUCCGAUCCCGGGGGACUGGCCCGAAAGGCAGCGGCGGCACCGCGUCCGGUCCUCGAGCGUAUGGGGCUUUGUCACCCGCUCUGUAGGCCCGGCCGGCGCUUGCCGAUCAACCCAAAUUUUUAUCCAGGUUGACCUCGGAUCAGGUAGGGAUACCCGCUGAACUUAAGCAUAUCAAUAAGCGGAGGA
rnacentral:misc_RNA from 1 species